UACGUAGGGUGCAAGCGUUGCCCGGAAUUAUUGGGCGUAAAGAGCUCGUAGGCGGUCUGUCACGUCGGAUGUGAAAACUCGGGGCUCAACCCCGAGCCUGCAUACGAUACGGGCAGACUUGAGUUCGGCAGGGGAGACUGGAAUUCCUGGUGUAGCGGUGAAAUGCGCAGAUAUCAGGAGGAACACCGGUGGCGAAGGCGGGUCUCUGGGCCGAUACUGACGCUGAGGAGCGAAAGCGUGGGGAGCGAACAGG
rnacentral:rRNA from 1 species